rnacentral:rRNA from 2 species
AUUAGUCUUUUAAUUGAAGACUUGUAUGAAUGGUUGGACAAGAAACAAACUGUCUAUAAUAUAUAAUUUGAAGUUAACUUUUAAGUGAAAAGGCUUAAAUAAAUUAAAGGGACGAUAAGACCCUGUAAAAGUUAAUAUUUUUUAGUUGAUUUUGUGAAAUUGUUUGUAAAACAUUUUUUAACUAUAUAAAUAUUUAGUUGGGGCGACUAGAGUAUAAUUUGUAACUGCUAAUUAUUAUAAAUCAAAUAUUUUUGUUUUUAUGAUCCUAAUUAUUGAUUAAAAGAUUAAGUUACUUCAGGGAUAACAGCGUUAUUUAUUUUGAGAGUUCAUAUCGACAAAAAAGUUUGCGACCUCGAUGUUGAAUUAAAAAUUCUUUAUAAUGUAGCAGUUAUAAAAAGAAGGUCUGUUCGACCUUUAAAUUUUUA